UACGGAGGGUGCGAGCGUUGUCCGGAAUCACUGGGCGUAAAGGGCGCGUAGGCGGCCUGGGAAGUAGGGGGUGAAAUCCUGCGGCUUAACCGCAGGGCUGCCUUCUAAACUGUCAGGCUCGAGCACGGUAGAGGCAGAUGGAAUUCCCGGUGUAGCGGUGGAAUGCGUAGAGAUCGGGAAGAACAUCAGUGGCGAAGGCGGUCUGCUGGGCCGUUGCUGACGCUGAGGCGCGACAGCGUGGGGAGCAAACAGG
rnacentral:rRNA from 1 species